rnacentral:snoRNA from 1 species
UCUUAGGGAUGGCACACUUGUUCUCACUGAUAUCAUAGUUUCGUGAUGAGAAUCUUGAUUUUUAUACUCAUUAGCUGAGCCAGA